CUAAUAUCUCUCUCUCUUCUCUUUCUCUCUCGCUCUAAAACUGCCUCGUCCCUGCCUUCUCAAGUAUUUUGCCCAAUCCCCCCUGGCUGGCUCUCACUUAUACGAUUUACUCUUAAGCUUUGUAUCUCAAUUACCCGCCAAAAAGGUCUGUACGCCAAUCGCGAAGGAUUUCGUUUCGAAUCUACCGAGACGGUGCUUUCCAUGGAGGUGUAGAGGUAAUUGUGAAGUAGGAUUUUGUGUUAGAUGGAAUCGACGGUGGAGAUUGAAUCUGGAGUAGGAUUGGAGGGCGUGGGCGAAAAAAGACCGGCUAAACAGGAUGAGGAAGUGUUGAAA